AGGACCGUCAACAAACUCCUCCAUGUUUUGCUUGAAGUGUACCUGUUCAUAGAGACAAGACAGAGAUCAAAUGCAUGGGCCCUGUUGGUGGAAAACACCAACAGAACCAAAGGUGUAUUUGUUCUUCUCUAACCUUAAGCAUAGUGAGCAAGACAAAGUUGAUGGAUCAAGAGUGUAGCAUUUGUCAGAUGAGAUGGCUCAACCUAAUGGAAAGAUAAUCUAUCUAUAUUUAUGUUUUGUUUAUAUCUUCCAA
rnacentral:lncRNA from 1 species